rnacentral:tRNA from 1 species
GACUCGCUAGCUCAGUUGGUAGAGCAUCGCCCUUUUAAGGCGGGGGUCUUGGGUUCGAGCCCCAAGCGGGUUACCA